rnacentral:rRNA from 1 species
AACGAACGCUGGCGGCAUGCCUAACACAUGCAAGUCGAACGAGACCUUCGGGUCUAGUGGCGCACGGGUGCGUAACGCGUGGGAACCUGCCCUUAGGUUCGGAAUAACUCCCCGAAAGGGGUGCUAAUACCGGAUAAUGUCUUCGGACCAAAGAUUUAUCGCCUUUGGAUGGGCCCGCGUUGGAUUAGCUAGUUGGUAGGGUAAAAGCCUACCAAGGCGACGAUCCGUAGCUGGUCUGAGAGGAUGAUCAGCCACACUGGGACUGAGACACGGCCCAGACGCCGAGGGGAGGGAGCAGUGGAGAAGAACGGAGAAGGGGAGAAAGACUGCUACAGAACGGCGGCGUGGGUGGUGAAGGCUUUGUGGUUGUAACGCUCUUUUACCGGGGAUGAUAAUGACAGUACGGGGAGAACAAGCCCAGGCGAACUCCGUGCCAGACGCCGCGGUAAGAAGCGAAGCGCACACGUCUUAAC